rnacentral:rRNA from 1 species
UACGUAGGCAGCGAGCGUUGUUCGGAGUUACUGGGCGUAAAGAGUGCGUAGGCGGUUUUCUAAGUUUGGUGUGAAAGCCCCCGGCUCAACUGGGGAGGGUCACGCGAUACUGCUCGACUCGAAGGCAGGAGAGGGAAGUGGAAUUCCCGGUGUAGUGGUGAAAUGCGCAGAUAUCAGGAGGAACACCGAUGGCGAAGGCGACUUCCUGGCCUGUUCUUGACGCUGGAGGCGCGAAAGCGUGGGGAGCAAUCGGG